rnacentral:rRNA from 1 species
UACAGAGGGGGCAAGCGUUGUUCGGAAUUACUGGGCGUAAAGGGCGUGUAGGCGGUCAGGUAAGUGGGACGUGAAAUGCCUCGGCUCACCCGAGGAGCGGCGUCCCAUACUGCUUGGCUUGAGUACGGGAGAGGAUGUGGGAAUUCCUGGUGUAGCGGUGAAAUGCGUAGAUAUCAGGAGGAACACCGGUGGCGAAGGCGCACAUCUGGCCCGAUACUGACGCUGAGGCGCGAAAGCUAGGGGAGCAAACGGG